AACGAACGCUGGCGGCAUGCCUAACACAUGCAAGUCGAACGAGAUCUUCGGGUCUAGUGGCGCACGGGUGCGUAACGCGUGGGAAUCUGCCCUUUGGUUCGGAAUAACAGUUGGAAACGACUGCUAAUACCGGAUGAUGACGAAAGUCCAAAGAUUUAUCGCCAGAGGAUGAGCCCGCGUAGGAUUAGCUAGUUGGUGUGGUAAAGGCGCACCAAGGCGACGAUCCUUAGCUGGUCUGAGAGGAUGAUCAGCCACACUGGGACUGAGACACGGCCCAGACUCCUACGGGAGGCAGCAGUGGGGAAUAUUGGACAAUGGGCGAAAGCCUGAUCCAGCAAUGCCGCGUGAGUGAUGAAGGCCUUAGGGUUGUAAAGCUCUUUUACCCGGGAUGAUAGUGACAGUACCGGGAGAAUAAGCUCCGGCUAACUCCGCGCCAGCCGCCGCCGUAA
rnacentral:rRNA from 1 species